CAGUAACAGAGGGAUUGAGGUCCUGCUCAGUGAGUUUACAUGUUAGAGGGAGUGGGGUAUAGUAACAGUAACAGAGGGAUUGAGGGCCUGCUCAGUGAGUUUACAUGUUAGAGGGAGUGGGGUAUAGUGACACAGUAACAGAGGGAUUGAGGGUCCUGCUCAGUGAGCUUAAAUGUUAGAGGGAGUGGGGUAUAGUGACACAGUAACAGAGGGAUUGAGGGCCCUGCUCAGUGAGUUUACAUGUUAGAGGGAGUGGGGUAUAGUGACACAGUAACAGAGGGAUUGAGGGUCCUGCUCAGUGAGCUUACAUGUUAGAGGGAGUGGGG